rnacentral:rRNA from 1 species
GACGAACGCUGGCGGUGUGCCUAACACAUGCAAGUCGAACGGUAAGGCCCUUUCGGGGGUACACGAGUGGCGAAUGGGUGAGUAACACGUGAGUAACCUGCCCUCAUCUCUGGGAUAACAGUCGGAAACGGUUGCUAAUACUGGAUAUGAGCUUGCAAGGCAUCUUGUGGGUUGGAAAGAUUUUUUGGUUGGGGAUGGACUCGCGGCCUAUCAGCUUGUUGGUGAGGUAGUGGCUCACCAAGGCUUCGACGGGUAGCCGGCCUGAGAGGGCGACCGGCCACAUUGGGACUGAGAUACGGCCCAAACUCCUACGGGAGGCAGCAGUGGGGAAUAUUGCACAAUGGACGGAAGUCUGAUGCAGCAACGCCGCGUGCGGGAUGACGGCCUUCGGGUUGUAAACCGCUUUCAAUUGUGACGAAGCUUUUUGUGACGGUAGCAGUAGAAGAAGCACCGGCUAACUACGUG